AGCUUUAUCUCUUGCAGAAACCACCGAUUUCGGCAAAUCCUCCACAACCCCAAGCAGAGCAAACGAAAAGUACUUCCUUUCCUCCCUCAUCCAGUUUCGAUUCCUCCCUUGACAUAGCGGAACUGGGUUGAGGUGUUGAUCUUCGCCACUCCAUUGCCGGAGCAAUUAGCAACAGGAAACCCUAAGCUCGCCCAACCAGAACAGAACCGAAGCAGUGAUUGGCGAGGUUUAUUUCAGCAGAAGAAGCAAAUCCCAUUACCGUGAUUCCCUAUCUUCUCCCUCUCCGAUUUCCAUAGAUGGAAUUCCCCUGAAGAAUCUCCCAAAUCGGUGAGUAAUUCUUGCUAAUUACAUGCUCUGGAGAUUUAAUUAUCCAUUUCUGUUGCUGGGCUGAAGUUUCUUGCUCUUGAAAUGGUUGGCUUCUAUGUAAAAUUUGACUUUUUUUUAAUGAUUGGUGGCAUGAUCCGCUGAUGGUGAUGAUUUCUUUGUUAAUAGCCGGUGGUCUGAUCGAACCAAACGUAGCCUAGAAGUGUUGGUUACAAAAGGAUUGGUCUUUGAUUCUUUCAAUUUUGCUAUCCCAUAUUAACACAAGAUAAGGUAUUUACCUCUGUUUCAUUAGCAUUCCCAAUCAAGUUUUUCUUCAAAAUCUCGUUUUCUCUCCCCCUGGUCUUUUUGAUAGGGAUGGUUUAAAGUGGUAGAUCGGAAUGGUUGAUAUUAGCCCCGGCUGCUUUUGUUUCUGUUAAUCGCUUUUCUUAUAUGUUUGCUGUUUAUUCUGGUUUCAUUGAUUAGGUACUAUGGAGGAUAGGCAGCACCAAAUAUUUAUUUCUUGGGAUAUGUUGGGGUGUUUAAGUUUGGAAACAUUCGAAUUGGUGGACUCUCUGGAAUAUAUAAUGCAAGGCAUUACAAACUAGGUAGCUCUUAGUCAUAUAUAGAGUAUGUACAUCUCCAUAAGCUUUUUGAUACUGACAAAAAUUAUCAUUUGUUCUCUAAUUUUUAAUAUAUGAAUGUAAAAUCGUUGGUUUUCAGAGCUUUGGUUAAACAUUUUGUAUUAGCAAUUAGAAUCAUUCCAUUAGAAUCGAAAAACUGUGUUAGUACUCUGUUGAAUCUUUGCAUAGGAUGUUUGGGACAGAUGACUUUAAAAUCAAACCAGAUUAGGUUUUCUUUGAACAUGACACUUUGAGAGGCCACCUUAUAGUGAGAGCACCAUCAGGUCUGUGUACCACGUUCGUGAAUAUGAUGUCCGCAAACUCAUGCAAGUUGAGGAACCAAUUGAUAUUUUCGUAUCACAUGAUUGGCCUCUUGGGAUCACUGACUGGGAACUCCAAGCAACUCAUUCGACAUAAACCAUUUUUUGAGAAAGAGGUAAUAUGGAAGAAUUUAUAGAUGAUUGGGAUGAGAUGCUACAAGCAUCUCUUGAUGUAAAAUAUUGCAUUUGCUUGGAUUAUUUUUCCCUACAAAGUAAUUUUUAAAUGUUCGUCCACUUUUUCUUCAAAAUUGUUCUGAUAAUUAGCAUUUCACAUGAGCUUUUGAUGUGAUUUGCUUACUUGGUCAAAAAUUGUUCCGCAAAUCUAGCAGAGGACCCUGGGAAGUAAAGCUGCUACCCAACUGUUGGAAAAGUUGAAGCCCGCUUAUUAGUAUAGCUAUUAUACCUUUUGAAAUGUAUACAAAUAUGCAAAAAUGACUAAAUUGUUCUGUACUCUUAUAGCCCCUAACCAUUAAUUGUUCUUAUUAUGUAGAACAUUAGUCAUGGUGUAAACAUGGUUACAAGUUUGUAUAUACGAUUCUAUGAUUAAUUUUAGUGUCGUUGCGUUAUUGAAAA